rnacentral:lncRNA from 1 species
AAGAAAAUUCACCUCACUCCAGACCUUCAUUCACAGGUCCAAUGGUGGUUGCAGCAGCCUUGGCAGGACUUCAAGCAGAAGCUAACUGCUCAGUUUGUCUGGAUUACUUGAGAUACCCUGUCACCAUCAAAUAUGGACAGAAUUUCUGUUAUUUCUGCAUCCAACACCUCUAAGCAGAUCUAAAUGAUGGUUUCUUUUGCCCUGUCUUCAUCAAUGCCCAAAGGGGCAUUUCAGGAGCACUACCCAUCUGGGAAAGAUGAUAGAAAUUUCCAAGCUAUUCUACAUCACCAAGAGCAAGAGGAUAAGGCAGGAACAAACAUGUUUGAGCAAGUACAACCAGAUUUUGACCCUUUCCUGCAAGAAGAAUCUAUAAGUGCUAUGUACCCUGUUCUCUCAGCCCCCUGACUACCGGGGCUACCAGAGGCCCAUAGAGAAGGCUGUUUCUCAUCACAAAUGAUAGAGGUACAAAAACUCAUAGCCAACCAAGACAGAAACCGAGACAGAAAAAAACAUUAGAACUGAGAAGGAAAAUGGAAAAAUCAAAGGUGGAAAUUAUCCUCUGAAUUUAAGCACCUGAAAGGAGUUUCUAGAAUGUGAGCAAGGGGCAGUGCUUUCAAGGCUGGCAGAGGAAGGAAAAGAUAUCGAACAGAAACUCCAUGCAAACACAGCAGCAUUUUCAGUCCACAUUUCCACACUCUACGGUCUACAAAAGGAGGUGGCAGAGAAGCUUGUGAUGCCAGAAGUAAAAUCUCUGGUGGACAGCAAAAUUAUUUAACACAAGUGUGAAAGCCUGGAAACCUUAGCCGUCUGUUCAUUCCAGUUAAGGAAAGAAGGAUGCUCUCCUCCUCCACAGUUUGUAGCUCUGCAACAAACAAACAAACAAACAAACAACAAAACAAAACACACACACACAAAACGACAACAAAAACAAAAAAACAACCUGGAAAUGUAAAGAAGAUGUAACUCUGGAAUCUGAAACAGCACAUAGUAACCUGCUUGUAUCUGAAAAUAAAAAAUCUGCUACUUUUGUGAACAAAAGGUAAAAAGUUAAUGUUGCUAAUUUCAUGUUAGUUCUGGGUUCUGAAGGAUUUGAGUCAAGCAAAUAUUACUGGAUGUCAAGCCCAAAUGGAUCCUGGGGCUUUGUAAGAAUUCCCUGUCCAGGAAGGGAAAGCAGUCCCUGUCAGGGCAGAACAGACACUGAAUAAUUCAGAAGCAAAGUGGUGACUAUGGGGCCUGAGGCCCUGUUCCAGUCACUCUUCUGCUAAAGGAGAAGCCAAGAGGAAUUGGGAUAUAUCCGGACUGUGAGUUGGCUGAGCUAUCCUUUUACUACUUGAAUGACAGAACUCACAUCUAUUCUUUCACAUAUCUAUGUCUUUAAGUACAUAAAGCCUUAUUUCUAAAUUGGAAUCAAAAUCUAUUACAAUCUGUGCAGUAACAGGCUGUGAAGGGUCAACUGUGACGU